rnacentral:tRNA from 1 species
CAAGAAUUAGUUUUAUUAAAAAUUUUAAUUUUGGAGAUUAAAGAUGGAUUAUUUUCAUUCUUGA